UACGUAGGGUCCGAGCGUUGUCCGGAAUCAUUGGGCGUAAAGCGCGUGUAGGCGGCCCGGUAAGUCCGCUGUGAAAGUCGGGGGCUCAACCCUCGGAUGCCGGUGGAUACUGUCGGGCUAGAGUGCGGGAGAGGCGAGUGGAAUUCCUGGUGUAGCGGUGAAAUGCGCAGAUAUCAGGAGGAACACCAAUUGCGAAGGCAGCUCGCUGGAACGUUACUGACGCUGAGACGCGAAAGCGUGGGGAGCAAACAGG
rnacentral:rRNA from 1 species